rnacentral:rRNA from 14 species
GGACCUCCGAUCAAGUAAGA